UUAACUAUUUAAUAGUACUCAGACGACACAAACAUUCAGAGUUUAGGGGUCCUCUGGCGGGCACGCCCGACCGAAGUCGAGGCGUGCGAGGCACGCAGCCCGCCAAAGCAACAUUCUAUAAUGAUACACAAGGGUGGGAGAUCUACCCCGAAGGGCAUGAACUCUGUAAUGAUCCUUCCGCAGGUUCACCUACGGAAA
rnacentral:misc_RNA from 1 species